GUCAAAGCAUCACUCCCUGAAGCUAAAAUAUCUGGAAGAGAGAGACGGUGAACUGGACUGUCAUCACCUGGCUACUGAGAGCACUCCCUGUCUGUGACUCUGAGUUCCUGGCCAACCUUCAGCCAUGAAGAUCCUUUUCCUGCUCUUUGCUGUUGUCUUCUUGGUGCUCCUGACUGCCCCAGGAUUCUCCCACGCUAAGAUGACCCGAAGGGAAUGUAGAAGCAGAGGUGGUGAAUGUUACCCUGACAGAUGUCCCAUGCGUUAUAGGACCAUUGGAAACUGCGUUGGUGGAGGCAGGUGCUGCCGAAGGAGAUAGAGUAUCUGAUUGCCUAUGCAGGAUUUCUGGGAAUCUGGCACACAGCCACUUGCUUCUAAAAUCAUCAGAUCCUGCUUCAAUGGAACCCUGAAGUGCUGUUCAUUUGGGCUGUAAAGAACCUUGUGAGCUGGAGAAAUUCCAGAAGGGAGCUCCUGUACCAUCCCUAUAAGAUUUGUUACUCUCUUUUUAAUAAAAGCAAG